UNUGACUUGAGUGCAGAAGGGGAGAGUGGAAUUCCAUGUGUAGCGGUGAAAUGCGUAGAUAUAUGGAGGAACACCAGUGGCGAAAGCGGCUCUCUGGUCUGUCACUGACGCUGAGGCUCGAAAGCGUGGGUAGCGAACAGGAUUAGAUACCCUGGUAGUCCACGCCGUAAACGAUGAGUGCUAGGUGUUAGGCCCUUUCCGGGGCUUAGUGCCGGAGCUAACGCAAUAAGCACUCCGCCUGGGGAGUACGACCGCAAGGUUGAAACUCAAAGGAAUUGACGGGGGCCCGCACAAGCGGUGGAGCAUGUGGUUUAAUUCGAAGCAACGCAAGAACCUUACCAGGUCUUGACAUCCCGAUGCUAUUCUUAGAGAUAGGAAGUUACUUCGGUACAUCGGAGACAGGUGGUGCAUGGUUGUCGUCAGCUCGUGUCGUGAGAUGUUGGGUUAAGUCCCGCAACGAGCGCAACCCUUAUUGUUAGUUGCCAUCAUUAAGUUGGGCACUCUAGCGAGACUGCCGGUAAUAAACCGGAGGAAGGUGGGGAUGACGUCAAAUCAUCAUGCCCCUUAUGACCUGGGCUACACACGUGCUACAAUGGUCGGUACAACGAGUUGCGAGCCGGUGACGGCAAGCUAAUCUCUGAAAGCCGAUCUCAGUUCGGAUUGGAGGCUGCAACUCGCCUCCAUGAAGUCGGAAUCGCUAGUAAUCGCGGAUCAGCACGCCGCGGUGAAUACGUUCCCGGGCCUUGUACACACCGCCCGUCACACCACGAGAGUUUGUAACACCCGAAGUCGGUGAGGUAACCUUUUAGGG
rnacentral:rRNA from 1 species